rnacentral:rRNA from 1 species
UACGUAGGGUGCAAGCGUUAAUCGGAAUUACUGGGCGUAAAGCGUGCGCAGGCGGCUUUGCAAGACAGAUGUGAAAUCCCCGGGCUCAACCUGGGAAUUGCAUUUGAGACUGCAUAGCUAGGAUGCGGAAGAGGGAAGUGGAAUUUCCGGUGUAGCGGUGAAAUGCGUAGAUAUCGGAAGGAACAUCAGUGGCGAAAGCGACUUCCUGGUCCAGCAUCGACGUUCAGGCACGAAAGCGUGGGGAGCAAACAGG